CACAUUCCUUCGUGUUCAAGUAUACGUGUGGUUGGCUCGAGCACAGAAGCACAGAGCUGAGCAAAAUAUUCAGCGCCUUUUUCAGAGAACCCUGGCUGGUGCUGGUGGAUGUUCCUGCCCCUUCCUCCACCAUGAACAUUUUUAAAAAUUAAGGGAGAAACAGGAAAACUUUGAAGAAUCUUCCAGAUUUGCCUAACGCAGAUGUGCAUGACCUGACAAGAUAGAUGUGCCAUUUGGACCCUUUCAAGAGCAGACAGAAUGGAAGGGAGGCUGGAGUGCAAUGGUGUGAUCUCUGCUCCUGCAACCUGCGCCUCCUGAGUUCAAGCGAUUCUCCUGCCUCAGCCUCCCAAGUUGCUGGGAUUACAGGGGCCCGCCACCACGCCCAGCUAAUUUUUGUUAUUUUCAGUAGAGAUGGGGUUUCAUCAUGUUGGCCAGGCUAGUCUUGAACUCCUGACCUCAGGCGAUCCGCCCGCCUCGGCCUCCCAAAGUGCUGGGAUUACAGGUGUGAGCCACUGCACCUGCCCAAGGACUAAGGUUUUCUAUUUCUUAUUGUGUCAGUUAGGUUGUAUUUUUCUGUGAAUCUGUUCAUUUCACCAAAUUUUCAAGUUUGUUGGCUUAAAGUUUUCGAUAAUAUACUCUUAUUUUGUGGUGAAGUCCCUUUUUUAUUUCUUGUAUUUGUUAUUUGUGCCUUCUUUUCUUUUUUUUUUUUCCUUUUCUUUUUUAUGAGAUAGAGUUUCACUCUUGUCGCCCAAGCUGGAGUGCAAUGGCGCGAUCUCAGCUCACUGAAACCUCUGCCUCCCGGGUUCAAGCGAUUCUCCUGCCUCAGCCUCCUGAGUGGCUGGGAUUAUAGGCACCCAUCACCACGCCCAGCUAAUUUUUUGUAUUUUUAGUAGAAAUGGGGUUUCACCAUGUUAGCCAGGCUGGUGCCAAACUCCUGAUUUCAGGUGAUCCGCCCGCCUCAGCCUCCCAAAGUGCUGGGAUUACAGGCGUGAGCCACCACGCCCAGCCUUUUCCUUUUCUAUUUUCUUUUUCUUUUCACAGAUGCCUUUUGUGAAAACUGUCAAAUUGUUUCCUUUUAAUCAUUCUCUUUAGGGAUUAACCAAUUUUAUUAGUGGUUUCAGUUUUGGCUUUGUUGAUUCUCUCCGUUGUGUGUUUGUUUUUAUACUUAUUAUACAUUGAAAUCAU
ensembl:lncRNA LINC02861 long intergenic non-protein coding RNA 2861